rnacentral:rRNA from 1 species
AUCAUGAUAACUCGACGGAUCGCACAGCCCUUGUACUGGCGAUGCUUCAUUCAAAUUUCUACCCUAUCAACUUUCGAUGGUAGGAUAGAGGCCUACCAUGGUGGUGACGGAAGAUGGAGAAUUAGGGUUCGAUUCCGGAGAGGGAGCCUGAGAAACGGCUACCACAUCCAAGGAAGGCAGUAGGCGUGCAAAUUACCCAAUCCUGACAUGGGGAGGUAGUGACAAUAAAUAACAAUACUGGGCUCAUCGAGUCUAGUAUUUGGAAUGAGUACAAUCUAAAUCCCUUAACGAGGAUCCAUUAGAGGGCAAGUCUGGUGCCAGCAGCCGCGGUAAUUCCAGCUCCAAUAGCGUAUAUUUAAGUUGCUGCAGUUAAAAAUCUCGUAGUUGGAUCUUGGGUCGUAAAAAUCGGUCCGCCUACUUGGUGUGCACCUGCCCUUCCGUCCCUUUUGUCGGCAGCAUGCUCCUGACCUUAAUUGGCUGGGUCAUGGCUCCGGUGCUGUUACUUUGAAAAAAUUAGAGUUCUCAAAGCAAGCUUAUGCUCUGAAUACAUUAGCAUGGAAUAACGUGAUAGGAGUCUGGUCCUAUUGUGUUGGCCUUCGGGACUGGAGUAAUGAUUAAUAGGACUGACAGGGGCAUUCGUAUUUCAUUGUCAGAGGUGAAAUUCUUGGAUUUAUGAAAGACAGACCAUUGUGAAAGCAUUUGCCAAGGAUGUUUUCAUUAAUCAAGAAAGAAAGUUUGGGGUUCAAAGACGAUGAGAUAUCAUCCUAGUCUCAACCAUAAACGAUGUCGACCAGGGAUUGGCAGAUGUUGCUCUAAGGACUCCGCCAGCACCUUCUGAGUAAUCAGAGUGUUUGGGUUCUGGUGGGAGUAUGGUCGCAAGGCUGAAACUUAAAGGAAUUGAUGGAAGGGCACCACUAGAAGUGGAGCCUGUGGCUUAAUUUGACUCAACACGGGUGUUAGCGCUUGGAAUUUACCUAGGCUGAGAUAGACAAACUCUCAAGGCUACAUCAAACCAUUUCACCUCGUAGCUAGCCCUACGAGGUAUGAGAAGGCUCUCUCGGGUCAGAUUCGGUGGAUCUUUCAAUAUGAUAAGCUGACCAAUUAGGAUCAAAGAUAUUAGGCUAGUAAAUUGAUAAGGGGGGUUGAUUUAAAGAUUUUUGGGUUUUUGGUGGCAAUUGGAGGAAGUGCAAUUCAGGGUGCGGGGAUUGAGCACAGUUUUUGCAGGGGGA